CCUUCGUUAAGGAGGAGGAAGGUGUGGACGACGUAAGGUCAUCAUGGCCCUUACGGCCAGGGCUACACACGUGCUACAAUGGGGCGUACAAAGAGCAGCAAUACCGCGAGGUGGAGCAAAUCUCAAAAACGCCCCCCAGUUCAGAUUGCACUCUGCAACUCGAGUGCAUGAAGUUGGAAUCGCUAGUAAUCGUACAUCAGCAUUGCUACGGUGAAUACGUUCCCGGGUCUUGUACUCACCGCCCGUCACACCAUGGGAGUUGAUUUCACCCGAAGCGGGGAUGCUAAAGUAGCUACCUUCCACGGUGAAA
rnacentral:rRNA from 1 species